GAGAGAAGAGAGAAGAAGAAAAGGGAGAGGAGAGGUCUGAGUAGCUCUCCACUGACGUAAUGUAGACCUGUGAAGUCAGCGUGGCAGCAGAGUGGUGAUGGAAAGAAAAGACCAGUGAAGGAGAAGGAGGAGGAGAACAAAGGAAUGCUCCCGUCCCGAGGACUGUGUCAUCAGAGGACAAUAUGGGAUUGUCCGCUCCAUCAUUCUCCGUGACCUUUACUGUGGCCUUUAUUGAAGGGCAAAGUGGACAUGAAGUACAGACUGAAUUAGUAAUAGAGAAGCAAUGGGGUUCCAGACUCUGAGAAGGAUGAUGAUGGUGGCCCAGUUUCCAAUCAGUCCCAACUGUCCACAGACGUCUGUCCUUACAGAAUACUGACACCAAUGUUGGAAGCAUCAGGGAGUUUUUUGUUUUGGUUGGUGAUGUCAGGUCCAGGUGUGGCUUCCGAAGGAACUGGGGAUGCCUCAGCUGGCUUGUCAGGCUUUCACGCCUUUGCUGGCUCGAGAGGUUUUCUUGCCUCGUUUGGCUCAGCAGGCUCCUAUCCCACGUCAUGCCUCGGCCGGCUCGUCGGGCUCCUGCGCCUCGGCCGGCUCGUCGGGCUUCCGCAUCUUGGCCGGCUCGUCGGGCCUCAACGCCUCAACCGUCUCGUCCGACUCCCGUGACACAGAGGAGGGUACUGUCACGCCUGCUCCCACUCCUCCUCGCCAGGCUGCCCAUCACUACGCAUACCUGUCGCCAUCAUUACACGCAUCAGCGCUUCAUUGGACUCACCUGGACUCCUUCACUUUGUUGAUUUCCCCCUCUAUAUCUGUCUGUUCCUCAGUUUGAUCCCUGUGUCAACAUUAAUGUUUCCCCUGUCCAGACGCUGUCCAUGUUUUGUUUCUUGUCCGUUAUUUAUUAAAUGUUCACUCCCUGUACAUACUUCUUGUCUCCCAGCGUCUGUCCUAACAGCAACUUUUACCAUUUGUUGUUAUGCACAUACUGUAUGCCUGCGCUGGUUUGCCUUAGUUUUAAAGGUUUAGAUUUAUAAGGAGCUGGCAACCAAUAAAAUGCUGAGGUUCAGGGCUGCAGCAUAUGCCACCACCACCUGUGACCUACAGUGGGGGAAAAAUGUAUUUCAUCCCCUGCUGAUUUUGUACGUUUGCUCACUUACAAAGAAAUGAUCAGUCUAUAAUUUUAAUGGUAGGUUUAUUUGAACAGUG
rnacentral:lncRNA from 1 species